ACUUGCAGAGUAGCAAGAAGACGAAAAAGCAGCAUCUGUGCGUAAUUUAUUCUCUAACUAAAAAAAGGGUAGUCCGGUGCACUAAACUCCCGCUAUGCGUAAUUUAUGCUCUGACCAAACUUUUAAUAUUAGAUAUGUUUUAAAUAACAGCCCUAGAAGUGGCUACUUUGAAUACUGAAUAAUAUGUUUUAAAUACCAGCUCUAAAAAUGGCUAUUGGUGCACUUAGCCCCAAAAUUUAGAGACCUGGUAGGGCUAAGAUUUGACAGAAGCGAGGAGCAUGUCUUUUGAACCGAAGCGAAGGAAAAUUGACGGUGAACCUCCACGCAGGGCUAUCAUUCCACCACCUAAGAGAAAAGCAACAACCUCUAGCGUGGUGAUUGCAGAACAAACAAGCAGCUUCACUAAUCUCAGGCUACAACAGGCUAAGAAUUCAGCACUAGCUCAAGCACAACAAGACGGCUGCACUGGCAAUUUUAGGAUCUUUGAUUCUCCUUUUGGGAAUUUUCUUGUACCUGUAGUUCCAACUCGUGCUGAACUGGGUGGAUAAUCCAUGCUUUUAUGUGAAGUGUGGAACCUCGGAAACUUGGACGAUUACAGAGUAAAACAGGGAUAUGUCAUUUAGCCAGAAGGUCCUCUACUUAACGACUUUGCAAAGAUGCUUGCGGUCUCCAUGGUUAACCCAAACUUAUUCUUUCUCAAACAUUGAAGUUUUAUGUCCAAUUUUAUUAUCAUUCAUCUCUUGCAUGCUCUUUUUCUCCUUCAAUUUUUCUCUGUUAAAACAUUGCUUGGCUGUGCAUUUCGUCCCUUGGUUCUUCAUAAGAUCUUUGGUUUCA